rnacentral:lncRNA from 1 species
AAAAUGUUAAGUAGAGUGAAAAAUGUAUCACUGAUUAACCAGUGGAAAUUUAUUACAGCAGUUAAGAGCCCUGGGUCUGGAGCAAAACUGCUGAGGUUUGAGGCCCCGUUUUGCUGCUCACUAGCUACAUGAUCUUGGGCAAGUUAUUUAAGCUCUCUGAGCUUCAGUUUCUUCCUCUGCAGAAUGGGGAUGAAAGUGGACUACUACCUCAUGGCAUGUUUUGAGGAUGAAAUGAGCUAAUAAACACAGUCUUCAGCCCUACAUUAGGAUGGCCUAAGGAAAACAAGAAGACUGAAUGAUAUUCCCUGGUUCUCACUCUGUCAUCCAAGCUAGAGUGCAGUGGGGUAAAACACGGCUCACUGCAGCCUCGAUCUCUUGGCUCAAGCUAUCCUCCUGCCUCAGCCUCCUGUUUAUCUGGGACCACAGCUGACUUAUAUAAGUUAUUAGUCUUCUAGAAGGAUCACAAGGAACCAGCAUCAAAGAAAUGGAAUCCAGCUAAUUCCCCCAAGAAACUGAAGUUUUCGGGACAUGACUUGUGAAAGGCAAACAUAAGCUGACAUCUUUUCACACUGAACAGCAAGAGCCAAAGUGUAUCCGAAAAGCCAUUGUCAAAACAAGGAGUGAGAACAGCUGGGGUCAAGACCUAAUGAAGGGCAUCACUCAGCCUCUUUGAGCCUCGGAUUCCUCAUUUGUAAAGUGGGCAUAAUAAUACCUCACAGGGUAGUUAUGAGGGCAAAUGAGAUAAUGGACACGAAGGCACCUGUACACUCCACGGUGCUAUCAGAAUAUUGACUAUUAGUGCUUUCAUCACGCGGCUCCAUCCAAACCCCUGCUUUCCCUCACUCCAACAGGCUUUUACUCUGUCACCCAUGCUGGAGUGCAGUGGUGCAAUCUUGGCUCACUGAAACCUCUGCCUCCUGGAUUCAAGCGAUCCUCCCACCUCAGCCUCCCGAGUAGCUGGGACUACAGGCAACCUGGCGGUUCCCCGCUCCAGGGAGGUCACCCUCUUGAUGCUGAAUUUAGCACGGACACCUGAUGGGCACAGUGCACUGCAGCCCAGAGCUCCUGAGCUCAAGCCAUCCUCCUGCCUCAGCCUCCAAGUAGCCAGGACCACAGGCACGCACCCUGAGGAGGAAGAAAUACCAGGUGCGCAUGCUCCAAGAAAAAGCCAUCUGAGGACGCGGCAAGAAGGCCGCCAUCUACAAGCCAAGGAGAGGGGCCUCAGGAGAAAUCGAACCUGUCACACCUUGAUCUUGGACUUCCAGCCUUCAGAACUGUGAGAAAGUAAAUUUCUGUGUUCAAGCUACCAGGUCUGUGGGAUUUUUUAUGGCAGCCCUAGCAGACUAAGACAGGCAUCAAUGGUUCCAAUGUUUUCAUUUUUUUUCCGGUAAGCAGACCGAAGCCCAGAGAGAUGAAGCAAUUUGCCCAAAGUCACAUACCAAGUUAACUGAAGAGUUGGGGUUAGAAUCCAGCUCUUGUGACUUCUCUCUUUUCAGUUUCCCUUCCCACUCCCCCCACUGAAAAGCUUUUGAGUGACUCUUUUAGAAAUCCCGGUUCUGUAUAUGAAGCAGAAUUGAGCACAGCUGCUCUAAUGAAGGGCUCAGAGCUCCCAGGCUUUUCUCUCUCCCCUGCCCCUUUUCCCUGUUGCACCUCUGCAGUGUCCUGAGGGUUGAUGGAAUCUAGUUUGAAAGCUAUUGCUCUACCUCACUGCCUCCUGAAUGCAAUGUCACAAAUUUUCCCAACUUGCCAUUUCUCUCACACUGACAUAAAGCAUUAGAAACCUGUUGUGAAGUAGGAAAGCUAACUGGGUCAGUAGCUGAUAAGAUAAUCUGGCCUAGGGGAUAGAUGAUUAGGAUUUCAGAGAAGGAAAGGUCACCCAAUUGAUUUGACUCUGUCCUGGGGCGAUGAUAUGGUGAAGAUUUCUACAGAUGCAGCAGAAACAUCCGGAAACCAGGUGUGUCCCAGCUCUGGUCUGGGAACCAUUUCAUAAAUUGGCAAAUAUCCAGGAUAUACACAUGGCUAAUUCUGAGGUGUACUGAAGUUUCAAUAAAGCUACUUUGGUAAUGACUAGGAGAAGAAAAUCCUAUGGCUGGACUUCAUUAAUGUUGUAUGGCCAAGGACAGUGUUUCUCUAAUUAUGGCCUGUGAACCUCCCUGGAUCUCGAUCACCUGCAUAUUUGGGAAUAUGCAGGUUCCAGGGUCCCACCUGAAACUACAGAAUCAGUAUUGAGAUCCCAGGUGAUUCUCAUGUACACUCAAGUGUAAGAUUAUUAGCACCUGGACUUUGGAAGCAGCCAGAUAAAAGUUUGGAUCCUGGGUUGGCUACUUCCUAGAUGUGGCCAAGUCAUUUUACUUGCCAUGCUUUUGCUUUUCUUGUCUGUAAAGUGGACAUGAUACCUAUUUUACAGGGUGGUUUUGAGGAAUAAGGUCAGCAUUAAACAUUUAUCCUCUUUAGGGAGACAGAGAGAGGAGAUGAAAUAGAGUAGAAUUGAGAAAAGCAGUUUCUUAGACCUCCCUGUGAAGUUUUUCUUAUUUCAACAAAUAAUAAAAUAAAAAAUUCAUACACUUUCUUAGUGCUUGUUUGGACUUAAGAAUUUAAAAAUAACUUGAGAGUUUUAUAGGCAUCAAGGAUGAUGUCUGAGUGCUGGAAAUACUUGACCUUUGGCUGGAAGGUGGAGUGAAGGUGCCAGCGGACUGAACCCUGGGAGACUGUCUUCUGUUUUAUGAAUGUGGUCAUGCUCUGAGUUAAAUGAUGUCCCUGGUAAGGACAUCUCCCAGAAAAGCUUAGAAAUCAGCUGUAAUCCUUGUUCCCUGCAAGACCCUUGACUUGGAUGUUAAGAGUUCCCUAUAAUGAUAAUAGCUACCUUUACUGAGCACUACUUGUUAGCCAGGCAUUGUGCUAAGUGCUUUAUGUGCAUUAUGUUAUGCAAUCCUGCAAAUACCGUUACGGGGCAGGUAAUAUUAUUAAUGCUAUUUUAACAAUGACAAAAGUAACUCACUGAUUAGGACUCUGAGUAGUAUCCAUACCACUGUAAGGAUAACAAAGAGCAAAGGCAGAUUAGGUCCGGCUCUGCUGUUUGUUGGGUGUUUUACUUAGAUUUAACCCCUAGACAAGUCUGAGUCUUGAUAUGGUCUUGCCUAUUACUCUACUUCUUUCUCUGCUGUGCACAGAUGGAGACUGGCAUCUGUAUUAAUACCAGGUUGUGUGCUUAAAGUCCAAUGAAUAGCAUUUUUUUUUUUUUUUGAGAUGGAGUCUCAUUCUGUUGCCCCGGCUGGAGUGCAGUGGUGCGAUCUCUGCUCACUGCAACCUCCGCCUCCCAGGUUCAAGCAAUUCUCCCACGUCAGCCUCCUGAGUAGCUGGGAUUACAGGGGUAUGCCACCAUGCCUGGCUAAUUUUUGCAUUUUUAGUAGAGAUGGGGUUUCACCAUGUUGGCUAGGCUGGUCUCGAACUCCUGACCUCAGGCGAUCCACCUGCCUUGGUCUCCCAAAGAGCUGGGAUUACAGGCGUGAGCCACUGCACUGAGCCCAGUGAAUAGCAUUUAAUAAAUGUUUGUAAAUGCUCUGAAUGUACUAUGAUAAUACAACAAAGUUGUACACAUAAGAUUAUCAUAGCAAAAAAUGGAGAGUAACCUUGGUUACUUCUAUAUAGUUAUUUAAUUUUAAUUUUUUUUUUUGAGAUGGAGCCUUGCUCUGUCACCCAGGCUGGAGUAUAGUGGCGUGAUCUUGGCUCACUGCAACCUCCACCUCCUAGCCUCCUAGGUUCAAGCGAUUCUCCUGCUUCAGCCUCCUGAGUAGCUGGGACUACAGAUAUAUACUACCAUGCCCCUUUAAUUUUUGUAUUUUUGGUAGAGAUGAAGUUUCACCAUUUUGGCCAGGCUGGUCUUGAACUCCUGACCUCAAGUGAUCAGCUCACGUCUGCCUCCCAAAGUGCUGGGAUUACAGGUGUCAGCCACCGUGCCAGGCCAAUUUUUUUUUUUUUUUAGAGACAGAGUCUUGCCUUGUCAGCCAGGUUGGAGUGUAGUGGUAUGAUCACAGCUUAUUGCAACCUCGAACUCUUGGGCUCAAGUGAUCCUCCAGCCUCAGCCUCCCGAGUAGCUAUGGCUACAGGUGCAUACAAUCAAAUGCCUGGCUAAUUAAAAACAUUUUUUUUUCUGUAGAGAUAGUUUCUCGCUAUGUUGUCCAGGCUGGUCUUGAAAUCCUGGCCUCAAGCAAUCCUCCUGCUUCAGCGUGGGAUUACAAGCAUGAGCCACUGUGCCCAGCCUAUACAGCCAUUUAAAAUGAUUGUAUAGCUCUAUAAUAAAUGAAUAACAUACAUACCAUAAUAAAAGAAUAAAGCAGGAUAUGAAGUAGCAUGAUUAAUGGAAUCUCAUUUUUGAAAAUCAAAUAUGUUUAUAUGUACAUAGAAAAAAUAUGGAAGGAUCUACCCCAUAAUGUUAGUUGAGCUCUGAAUGGUAGAUUUAGGAUUUUUUUUUUUUUUUUUUUUUUUUGAGACAGUCUCACUCUGUCACCCAGGCUGGAGUGCAGUGGCGUGGUCUCAGCUCACUGCAACCUCUGCCUCCCGGGUUCAGGUGAUUCUCUUGCCUCAGCCUCUGGAAUAGCUGGGAUUACAGGUGCCCGCCACCACACCUGGCUAAUUUUUGUAUUUUUAGUAGAGACGGGGUUUCUCUAUGUUGGCCAGGCUGGUUUUGAACGGCUGACCUUGUGAUCCGCCUGCCUCAGUUUCCCAAAGUGCUAGGAUUACAGGUGUGAGCCACCAUGCCCUACGAUUUAGGAUGUUUUUUGACUCUGAAAAAGAAAAAUUGUCUGAUUUUUCUUUUUCUGUUUUUAUUUUUACAGUGAGCUGAACACACAUCAUUUUUAUAACUGGGAAAAAUGUGCCACUAUUAUUUUGAAAAUUAAAUUCCUUGGAAAUAAAAAGCUAAACAUUCUACCAUCUUCCAUGUUAUUGUGGGUUUGUAUUUGCUUCUCUAAGAGAGUGAUUAGGAGAUGCUCUGAAGACUCUCAGCACACCAAAAGGAUAGCUAUUCUAAACAUUCCUUUUAGCACCUUCACAUACAUUCAAUGCAUUCCUCAAUGUAUCACCCAAUGCAUUCUUGUUGAAUAAGUGAAUGAGCAUUGAGAAGAAAAUCUGUGAUCAAUAUGCAAAGUGUUGCAAAAGAAGAACACUUUCAUAAGGAUGAGAAGUCAUAACAAUAGAAAAUAAUAACUUUCAAUUUCUUUUUCUUAGAUUCCUGGUAGCUGGAUUAAUUUGUGUUCAAAGUGAUUCACUGAGUCUAGUGAGAUCCUAGAACAAGGUUGGGGCUGUUUAAGUCACUCUAAGAGCUCCCUCCAGACAUUUCUGUCAGCCUGUCUACACCAUAUCUCUUUUCAUUAUUCUUGUUGCCUUUGGUGGCUGUCACAGACAGGAGAGCCAAAUAAUGCUCCUAGCAGCACAUAUCAUUUCUGCUUUGUCCA